GCCCUGGGAGGAGAGCUGCAGCAGCCAGAGCCAGAGGGGCCAGACAAGCAGCCAGGAAGCAGGUCAGAGCUGGGAGCAGAGUCAUAGAAGCAACAUGCAGAGCAAACCUGUCCUGGAGGCAGAGCUGUAGCAACCAGAGCCAGAGGGGCCAGAGAAGCAGCCCAGGGAGUUGAAGGCAGAGCAGCAGCAGCAGCCAUGCUGAGGCAAAGUGGAGCUGGGGCUGGAGCAGUCUGGAGCUGGGUGUGGUAAGCAGCUGGGGAGAGGAAGAAGACCCUGGGCAGAGGGCCUAGCACAGGGAGACGCCUCAGCCAAGAAACUCUGCAGGCCAGACUUGGAGGGGGAUUGUAACCCUGACAGGAUGGGGGUAAUGCUGGGAAAAAGGGUCCUGCCACCUAGAGCCUGAGAGCGUGUGGCCACCGCCAGAGCAAGUGUCCAACCUGCAGCGUCUCUGCAGCACAGCCAGGGCCUGAGAAGGAGGCCUGGGACCUACAAAAAACAGACUGUGAACUGCCCUGACAUUCCAAAAAGACUGUUUGUGAUGUUCCCUGCCACAGAGCAGCGUGAUGUUUUCCUUUAACUUUUCCCAUUUUUCCUUAUUCUUUUUUUAAAUUAAUUGUUAAUUAAACAACUUGUAUUUGCUUUAAAUUGUAUGAAAUAAUCAGUGGGUCAGGAAGGUGCCCAGUGCAAAAAAAGUACCCCGAAGUGGGAACACCCUAACUCCUGUCCUGGGUGACCACAGCAGGGUUGGGGGUCGAGACACCCAGGAAUCCUAGGCCCAGCCUUGUCGGGGUUUACAAGAACUCUGCCAGACAGGAGAGUGGAAGGGGAGACCUCAAGGGCAGGAAGGCCUCUGGAUAAAGGAAGUGGAAGCAAGGACUCAGAUCCUUUCGCUAGCCCACCUCACCGGGGUAGUGCAGAAGCCAGGAAAGUUCCCCACAAUAGCGGGACCAUUCCCCUGCUUACACAAGGGUAAACAGGACCAGGUUGACAGAUUACGGUGAUGACCGACGCCCAGCGCGCACUGGUGACUUUACCGGGGGCCUCGGCGGAGACGUGGUUUGGUCGACCCCGGAGGGCACAACGGUGCAACGCGCUCGAGUAGUGGAGAAGCAGCUGCGGGCGACGGUGGGGAACCGGUCCCAUGGAUAGGGCGACGGUGCAGAACCGGACCCUUGGAUAAGGUAUACCAGAGAUUUGCAGCCUCUCCCGCUGGAUGCCCCUGUCCACUCCUUGCAGCCAGGCAAUUCCGUUCUCGUUCGGACCUGGAAGGACAAGCCUCUCCAAGAGAAGUGGAAGGGACCCCACACCAUCCUACUGGUUUCCCACACAGCAGCAAAGGUCAAGGGACACAAGAACUGGAUUCAUCACUCCUGUCUGAAGGCAGUGCCCGCUCCUGAAUGGUGGACCGUCCAGCCUAUGGAAAAGGACUACCAGCGACGACCUGGGACUUAAACUGUUAUUCAAAAAAACAAUAAGAUCUGCCGGGAAUGCCCUGUGGUCUCUUUGGACAGUCGCAGCGCACUCCCCGUGAAAACUCUAAGCGUUGGUUGUGUUUACUCUCACAGGGCUGGCCUAACCUGGUGGCCUGGUCCUUUUGUUUUUAAUCUGCCUACUAUUGGUAAUUGAUAUUUUGUGGGUAUUUGGGGAAUUGUAAUUAUUAGGCCCUAGGGUCACCUGCCCAGCAUGAGUUCAGGUCCAGGGUCUGCCACAGUGGUACUCUUUGCCAUAGGGACACUCAUAGACUCAUAGACUUUAAGGUCAGAAGGGACCAUUAUGAUCAUCUGGUCUGACCCCCUGCAUGCUGCAGGCCACAAACAGUCCCUACCCUUCCCUUGACUCUGCUGAUGAAGUCCCCAAAUCCUGUGUUUUAGUGACUUCAAUUGGCAGAGAACCCUCCUGCUAGCGAUCCCUGCCCCAUGCUGCGGAGGAAGGCAAAAAACCUCCAGGGCCUCAGCCAAUCUACCCUGGAGGAAAAUUCCUUCCCGACCCCAAAUAUGGCGAUCAAUAAGACCCCGAGCAUGUAGGCAAGAGUCUCCAGCCUUUCGUUACCUCCCGUUCCCCCCAGGCACAUGUGGGAUGGAAAGGGAUCCCUACUAACUUGGAAACAAACACAUAUGAGUCCUUGAAGGUUUGCUUUGCCCAAGAGUUUAACCUCUCUAACUGCUGAGUAUGCUCCCAAAUCCCGCACCACGCAGCAGGGUUACCCUGGAGGGUGGUCCCCCUAAAUUGGUCAGAUAUCUGUUGGGGAUGGUUCAGUAGGGGAAGAAAUACCUCGGGUACCCCCUUGUCACAAAACUGUACCAUUGAAUCCCAGUAUGCAUUAAGGGACAACCCCUGGCCACCCCAGGCAGCGUAAAUCUUUGUAUGCCACCUCAGAGCCCAUUAAGGAAGAAGCUUAUGUCCCGGAAAACUCACAAGACAUUAACAAGCAUGUCCUGUCGGCCAAACAGGCUUUCAAGCAGUGGAAGGCUCAGGAAAGGAAACCCACAGUUUUCGAUUCCCUUUGAAGUUGGUUGCCCAACCUAGGAGGACGGGGGGGGUGGCCUUGUGCGUCUCCUCCUCACCGGUGUGGUAUUGUGCCUGGUCACCCUCCUCCUAAUUGCUUGUUUUAAAAUGCUCCUCCGUAAGCUUUGUGCCCCCCGUUCCUCAAAAAUCCCGGCAUACCCUCUCAUUGAAAACCCCAGCUUCAUAGCACUUAAUCAUAUCUUGUCCACAGAAUAUGAGAAAACUCAGCCAAAAGCUUGUUGAGUAUUCUCAAAGGAGGGAGUUGUUGACGUCACUAGGCAUAACCCUAGGUAACUCAGGAAGGUGGAAGGCCACUAAGUGUCAAUGAAGCCUUCCUGCACUAGGCCUAAGUGAACCAAACUCUAUCCUUUCAUGUUUAAACUCUAAUCAACCUCAAAAGCCAGGUGCAAUUGGAAUAUGUAAGCAACCAGUUAUCUGUGUGCAACCCCCUGCUCAAGCGGUAAUAAUGAGGCCUGCAUGUUUCUGGCUGAAGGGAAAAAGGACAAGAUAACGGUUUAAAGAAGUUACUAACAAGCUAGGCUUAUAGCUGCCAAGAAUGACUUAACUAUUACCAGGGACGGGAGGGGUAGAGGGAGGAAUGGAGGGGAGAAAGGGAGGGCUAGAGCGGAAAGUGGGGGGUGAGGCUUAACUGCAAAAUGUAUAAAAGAAGAAAAACUGUUCCUGUUAAUGUGCUUGAUUUGAGACUUGCCAGUCUCCUUGCACCACUUUGGGAUCCCAAAUAAACUUUGUUUGCUUCUC